UACGGAGGGAGCUAGCGUUGUUCGGAAUUACUGGGCGUAAAGCGCACGUAGGCGGCUUUGUAAGUUAGAGGUGAAAGCCCGGAGCUCAACUCCGGAAUUGCCUUUAAGACUGCAUCGCUAGAAUCAUGGAGAGGUGAGUGGAAUUCCGAGUGUAGAGGUGAAAUUCGUAGAUAUUCGGAAGAACACCAGUGGCGAAGGCGACUCACUGGACAUGUAUUGACGCUGAGGUGCGAAAGCGUGGGGAGCAAACAGG
rnacentral:rRNA from 1 species